rnacentral:rRNA from 1 species
ACGGGUGAGUAAUGCGUAGGAAUCUGCCUCAUUGUGGGGGAUAGCCUAGGGAAACUUAGGGUAAUACCGCAUAAGCCCGAGAGGGGAAAGGAGGGGACUGUAACAGGCCUUUCGCGAUGAGAUGAGCCUACGUCGGAUUAGCUAGUUGGUGGGGUAAAGGCCCACCAAGGCGAAGAUCCGUAGCUGGUCUGAGAGGACGACCAGCCACACUGGGACUGAGACACGGCCCAGACUCCUACGGGAGGCAGCAGUGGGGAAUAUUGGACAAUGGGCGCAAGCCUGAUCCAGCAAUGCCGCGUGUGUGAAGAAGGCCUUCGGGUUGUAAAGCACUUUCAGUGGGGAGGAACGACUCUUUAUUAAUACUAAAGAGAGAUGACGUUACCCACAGAAGAAGCACCGGCUAACUCUGUGCCAGCAGCCGCGGUAAUACAGAGGGUGCAAGCGUUAAUCGGAAUUACUGGGCGUAAAGGGUGCGUAGGUGGUUUGAUAAGUUAGGUGUGAAAGUCCCGGGCUUAACCUGGGGAUUGCGCCUGAUACUGUCAGACUAGAGUACUGUAGAGGAAAGUGGAAUUUCCGGUGUAGCG